ensembl:lncRNA
GUCCAUGUAAACGUAGGCAUUAAGAGAGAAGGAUGUGUGUCCCCUUCUCAAGUGUCGGACACUAAUGUGGAAGUCGUCGAUCCCGCAGGAAUGACGUGUUUUUUUAGGCCACCACAGGAGUUAGCAUCACCCCGGUUCCCUCGACAAAAAGCCAGUAGGAUUUUUCUAUUGGCUUUUGGAUUAUUGCCAAAAAUACACUCUUUGACCAACAAAAGCUUAUGAUUCUUACAUGUUCCGUUCAUUAAGAUAAGAUUAGUAGAUGUAGGCUGUAAUAGAUGAGAUUUCCUUUUCGGCGUGAUGACGUUUAAUGUCCCCGACAACAUUUAGCCACUUCUUAGCAACCGUCUUUUUCCAAGACACGUAAAAGCUUAUCCUGAGUGAGGUAUUACUGAUGUAUUUUAUGGCGCAGUAUAAAACGUGAACUUGUCUUCACCUCAUUUUAGUCAUUUAACCAAAAAAUCCAUUCCAAAACCCCAUCGACUUCGGGACGAUGGUUGUCCUGUACACAGGAAGAUUCGAAGACCACGAGAAAACAACUUUCGUUACGUCGAGAUCACGUGAAAAUGAAGCCGUGAUCACGAGAAAACAACAGAAAAAAAAAAACUAAUAAUGCAUGGCCGCUUAGGGCUUCCGUAGAUUUUAAGGAAGACAUGUUGGAAAUUGAAGACUCAUCCGACGUUAAACCAUCUUUAAAAGGUAAACUACUGUACAUUAUUACCACGUGGUUUGAGACAUGGCUACAGAAAGACUACGGAUUUUUCCUGAAGUGUGAGAAUUCACACUAAUAAGAAGAGAAUAAUAAGGGGGGAAUUAUUUUACCUGCUUCUAUACAAAAUUUCCAUAAACACUAAACGUUUUGAAGUGGUUCUGCUGCCCCCGUGUGGUAAACCAUCAGCACUGCAUCGUGCGCACCUACAGAGGCUUAUCAGAGGGGAAAAAAAAACCUUCUUUCUAUACAUCUUAAUAUGGAUAUAUAUUAAAUUGUGUACUAUUGUGCACUCCUUGUGACUGUUGUGGUACCUCACCUUAUAUUUUUACAUGGUAAUCCGAGUACAGUGCACCUUUAAAAGUACAUUCAAUUCAGAUCCUGAAGGCGGAGCUUCGUGAACAUGGGCAGGAAUCAUUCUCAUGGCGAACCCAGCUAACUGGUAGAGACCUAGGGUGCGUCUCAAUCAGCUGCCUAGUUCAGAAGUCGCGGCACCGAUCAGCGAGUCGGCCAUUUUAAGUGCCGCCUCGAUCAAUCGCAAAAUCCUUCUGGAAUGUUCGCUCCCUAAAAAUCCCACAAUGCACCACAAAAAACCAAGGAGCAUCGCUGCUCAUCAUGUUCCCUUACUGGAACUGACCUCGCUUUUUUUUUUUUAAGCCCCUCAGCACGAUUACCCACGUUAGAGGUUUUUAACGUUACGUGUGGCGAGACAGGGCCCUUACCAGAGCCCCGACUCGUGUACACGAGGAAUUCAUUUAACUAGCUUUUAGAGUAAUACUUUAAAGGUACAUUUUAAAUACAUAAAAAGGUACCGCCCAAGUAACAAGCUGCACUUCAGUACCUCUCCUCUGAGAGUGUGUAGCGUCUGAUUUUUACAGGAUCCAGAUCCGCCCCUUCGGCGAUAAUCGCUCCUAGAAAAUAAAAACGAAGCAGGCAGUUUUACGAGGUUCAAAUGUUUUAUUUCUCAUAGUCAUGAGUGGCAUUUCAAUGGUUUCCACAGCAUAUGACGCAGCAUGCAGAGACGAAGAGGCCCAAAACGAACAAACAAAAAAUAAUUUCAACAAAAAUCCUAAGACUGAAAUGUUGUAUUCUCAACACAACCCCAUAAUCCCCCCCAAACCCCCCCCCCCCCCAAAACCCAUCACCAUCGUACGAGGUAACAAACUGACCAAUCCCCAACAUAGUUCUAGAAAGCACUGAAUCAAAAGCAAAGAAGCACUAACUGUAUCACAUGUAAAUAACAAAAGUCUGUACAAAACAAUUCAUCCAAAUCAGGAGCCGGAAAAAAAAUAAUAAAACCCCAACAAAACCCGAAACACAAGACCCAGUUUCCACAGCACGCCGCUUCCACAGGGCCGGAGUAAAGCUUUGUUUAAUGUGACACUGAUUUUUCUGAUUAUUAUAUUCAUCUGGUGAUUAUAAGAAGUAUGGAUACAUGAUGUAGUGGAGUAAGUUCGUCAUUUCCAUAUUUAAAACAUUUACCAAAAAAAGUUUGGCAACAUCCAUAUAUUUAUAUGCAACUGUCAUUCAUAUAUCAAUUCUUACCAUUCAUUAUGUAAACAAGAGGAUUGGUUUUCUUAAAAAUGUUUUUAUUUUAAUUUUCCCCCCCAAAAAGUCGGACCUACAUGCACGGAGAAAAGAAAGACACCCGCCCGUUUCAUGCAAAGCACAUCACCAGACCCUUAAGGGUCUUUUUAUUUUGGGGAAAACGCAGGUCGUGCAGUGCGUGGUUUAGAAAAAAGAAAACAAACAAACGACAACAACAAAAAAACAACCAGCAGACGUGCAUGUGAGAGAGCGAGAGAAAGAUUAGAGAGAGCGAGAGAGGAGUGUGGGAGAGAGAGAGAGAGAGAGAGAGAGAGAGGGAGAGAGAGGAGUGUGGAGAGAGAGAGAGAGGAGAGUUGGUGAGAGAGAGAGAGAGAGAGAGAGAGAGAGGGGAGAGAGAGGAGUGGGGGAGAGAGGAGAGUUGGAGAGAGAGAGAGAAAGAGGGGAGAGAGAGAGGAUGUGGGGAGAGAGAGAGGAGUGUGGGAGAGAGAGAGGAGUGUGGGAGAGAGAGAGAGGAGUGGGAGAGAGAGAGGAGUGUGGGAGAGAGAGAGAGGGGAGAGAAAGAGAGGGGAG